CUUGGUCAUGAGGAAGUAAAAGUCGUAACAAGGUUUCCGUAGGUGAACCUGCGGAAGGAUCAUUACCGAGUUCCUGCCCUCUGGGUAGAUCUCCCACCCUUGCUUAUUAUACCUUUGUUGCUUUGGCAGGCCGCCUCUCUGAGCCACUGGCGCCCCUGGGGGCUUGUGCGCGCCUGCCAGAGAACCACCAACUCUGUAUCAUAGUUGUCGUCUGAGUCUGAUAUAAAUAUCUAAAACUUUCAACAACGGAUCUCUUGGUUCUG
rnacentral:misc_RNA from 1 species